AGUCCCACUCUGUAAAAAAUCCAACUUGCAAAUUGCUAACUCAAAUCAAAAUUGUAAGUUGGGUGGACAUAUUUUGAGCUCAGUGUUGAGUUUACUUUUAAAAUGAGUUAACUGAAGGUUUAAAACUGGUUUGUUCAAUGAAAGUAAAUACUUAAGUUGAGCAGACUUUACAUUUUGAGUUCUUCACUGGAUCAUCUACUUCCCGUCUUUGCACAUGCUCAGUCUGUCUUCGGGUGCCAUUUUGCACGAGGUGUCCUCUCACCAGCAGCAGCUGCCAUCUCCUGAUUCAGGACACAGAGCCGGAAGAUAUUUGCACAAAAGAGAUGGAGAUGGACAUCCUUAGCACUGUUGAAGAUGAUGUUGCCACUCUUCAGACCAACCUAAAUGUAAGGUGCCUGUCUGUGGUUCUGGAAGAGCAAAUCGUGCUGGAAAAGAUCUUCCGACAGCUGUUGUUCUCCUCUUUGGUUUGAUUAAUUUCCUCAUUAUGAACUACCCCAAAGAACUGAAACACAUCUUUGAAACUAUUCAGAAAGUGUUUAUUGGCCUUGAUCCUCAGUGCUCAGCAAGAGUCCAGUCUUUCAAAAACAAAAUGCAUUGGUUUGUACACUGAAAUUGUGUUACUCUUGGUGUUGUCACGAAACUUAAAUUCAGUUUUGAUUUUACAUUUUCAAAUUUUAAAAACAUCCGUUUCCCACCAAUUGAUUGAUUGGCUGUUGUGUUCAAGCGCUCAACAUAAAUGACUGUGAUUGGCUGAGAAGUUCACCAUUUCACUGCUCAUCACUGAUGUUCAUGGAGUGCAAACACAGAUACACACACACACACACACACACACACACACAAACUGGAGUGUUUCAAAACAUCGCAUAGUCGAUCCAUCAGCGUAACACUUGUAUCAGCUUAUACACAGACCAGUUGAUCAAUGUGAAAUUCUUAAGUGUCCCUGUGUCUGUGGUUACACUCAGUAAACAGCAGUGAGUUUGGUGAACUGAUGAUCUUCACGCCCAAUCAGUGUUUUCUGUUGAGCAUGUGAACACAAUGGCAAUAUAACAGUGUUUAAAACAUGGUCAACAACGCUCAAAUGUUAGCAGGAAAUGGACGUUUUUAAAAUUAUAGAACUGAUGGGUAACACAAUUAAAAUAUCGUGACAAAACUAAUUACUCUCGCACUUUGAAAAAAAUGUUGAUAGUGCAAGCUUUUUAAAUAUUUAUUUUGCUUAACUCGAGCACUUAAAAGGCAAUAUAGGAUUUGAGGAUUUACCUUUUUGUUGCCUCUUUUCCUUCUCUGGACUGCAGUACAUUUCAUUUGGACAGAAAGCUGUUUGCAGAAUUGUCAAUAAAUAUAUUCUUUGAUAUUG